AUUUUAAAUUACUAUUAAUCUUAUUAAUGCUUUACUUAUACAUGUACAUUAUUAUGGUAUAAGAAAUAAAGUCUAGGGGGGAAUUGAUUUGGAACAAAGAGUAAGAAUAAGUUAAAUGUUAAAGUGCUUAGAAAGGGAAAAAAAUGAAAAAAUUAGAGCUGGCAAAAGCUGACCCGACCCGACAACCCGACCCGAACCCAACCCGAAAUAAAUGGGUUAUGAGCAAAGUUUUCAACCCAUUUAUGUAAUUGGGUCGACCUGAACCCAACCCGAAACUAAAUGGGUCAGGUUCAGGUUGACAAUUCCGACCCGAAAAUAACCCGCCUAAACCCGUUUAACUAAUUGGGUUGGUUUCAGGUCGGGUCAACCCGAACCCCACCCAUAUAACCCUAUAUUAGUAAAAUGAUAUUAGGCCUUAGUAUUUUUAUUUGGACAAAGCCCAACCUAUGUCAAAUCCUAUAGAGUACAAAAAACCCAAAAAGUGAAAACCCUAUUUUUUUUUCUAGUCAUUUUCCCACUUGUUCAGCCGUUUUCAUCUCUAUUUUCCCAUCUUAUUCUCUCACCUCUCUCUUUUUUCUCUAUCUAGCUUGUUUAUCAAAAUUGCAACUUCAAACUUGUUUAUCUUCAAAUUUUUCACCUACUAAGGUGAAUGAUGAAGCCAAUACACCAAGCCCAUUUGAGAGCGCACCUCAAAGUCAGUAGCAAGACUAGCAACUAGUCAAACCUGAUGAAGUUUUCCAAGAUCUAAUUUUUAUUUUGUUGGGAAUAUUGCCUCCUUAAGACAUUGAUUUUGAUUUUGGACUGUACUGUAAAUUAUUAUAUGUAAACUAUGGUUAGUUUUACUUGAAUGUAUUUUUAUUAUGCUUAAAUUGAUAGGUUUGUACAGCAAAGUUUUAUGCAAAAUAACAAGUUAAAUAUACGACUUUUUUUUUUA